GACGAACGCUGGCGGCGUGCCUAAUACAUGCAAGUUGAGCGCUGAAGGUUGGUACUUGUACCAACUGGAUGAGCAGCGAACGGGUGAGUAACGCGUGGGGAAUCUGCCUUUGAGCGGGGGACAACAUUUGGAAACGAAUGCUAAUACCGCAUAAAAACUUUAAACACAAGUUUUAAGUUUGAAAGAUGCAAUUGCAUCCCUCAAAGAUUAUCCCGCGUUGUAUUAGCUAGUUGGUGAGGUAAAGGCUCACCAAGGCGAUGAUACAUAGCCGACCUGAGAGGGUGAUCGGCCACAUUGGGACUGAGACACGGCCCAAACUCCUACGGGAGGCAGCAGUAGGGAAUCUUCGGCAAUGGACGAAAGGCUGACCGAGCAACGCCGCGUGAGUGAAGAAGGUUUUCGGAUCGUAAAACUCUGUUGGUAGAGAAGAACGUUGGUGAGAGUGGAAAGCUCAUCAAGUGACGGUAACUACCCAGAAAGGGACGGCUAACUACGUG
rnacentral:rRNA from 1 species